GGUUGACGUAAGCUCAAGGUGUUCUCUUUCAGGGGUGUGGAAGA
rnacentral:ncRNA from 1 species